UACAUGGGGUGCAAACGUUGCUCGGAAUUAUUGGGCGUAAAGCGCGCGUAGGCGGUUAUCUAAGUCGGAUGUGAAAGCCCUCGGCUUAACUGAGGAAGUGCACCCGAAACUGGAUAGCUAGAGUACGAAAGAGGGUCGCGGAAUUCCCGGUGUAGAGGUGAAAUUCGUAGAUAUCGGGAGGAACACCGGUGGCGAAGGCGGCGGCCUGGGUCGAGACUGACGCUGAGGCGCGAAAGCGUGGGGAGCGAACAGG
rnacentral:rRNA from 1 species